GACGAACGCUGGCGGCGUGCUUAACACAUGCAAGUCGAACGGAAAGGCCCUGCUUUUGUGGGUUGCUCGAGUGGCGAACGGGUGAGUAACACGUGAGUAACCUGCCCUUGACUUUGGGAUAACUUCAGGAAACUGGGGCUAAUACCGGGUAGGAUCUCCUGCUGCAUGGUGGGGGUUGGAAAGUUUCGGCGGUUGGGGAUGGACUCGCGGCUUAUCAGCUUGUUUGUGGGGUAGUGGCUUACCAAGGCUUUGACGGGUAGCCGGCCUGAGAGGGUGAACGGCCACAUUGGGACUGAGAUACGGCCCAGACUCCUACGGGAGGCAGCAGUGGGGAAUAUUGCACAAUGGGCGGAAGCCAGAUGCAGCAACGCCGCGUGCGGGAUGACGGCCUUCGGGUUGUAAACCGCUUUCGCCUGUGACGAAGCGUGAGUGACGGUAAUGGGUAAAGAAGCACCGGCUAACUACGUG
rnacentral:rRNA from 1 species